UGGAGAAGUACCCAAGUCCGGCUGAAGGGGACGCACUCGAAAUGCGUUAGGACGGGCAACUGUCGCGUGGGUUCGAAUCCCACCUUCUCCGU
rnacentral:tRNA from 2 species